UGAUUCUUUCUUUUCAAAGUG
ensembl:piRNA 21ur-13235 ncRNA